AUUUAUUGCUUCUUAUAUAUCGUAUUAUGCAUUAUUUAUGUCAUUUAUUUAAUGAACCUUUCUGUAGGUUUUCGGCGUUGAAACCAAAAUUAGCAUGUUGAAAGUUUAUUAAAUGAUAUUCGUUUGUAGAAACUAAAAACUAACCUCUGAAUAUGAGUUUAAUCGAAAGCUUUUAACUUAAAUAAGAAAUCAAGAAAUAAAGCGGAUCAAAUUAUUUUUAAUGUAAAGCAUAACAACUUGAAAAAGCUGAAAUGGCCAACCAUUGAUGCUCAGCAAUUUGUUACUUUUUAGAACAAAGGAUGAUGACAUCGAUCCAGAAAUGUAUCAUUAUGCACUAGAUUAUUACUAUGCUAAGGAAAUGAACGUAACAGAAGAAUAUUCCAUUGUGCAAUAGAUUGGACUGACUUUCAAUUGGUCCUCAACGAGAAUGUCGCCAUUAUAUGAUCAUGCCUCAACACCGUUCAAACCUCCAUGAUCACUGGAUUUUCAUUGAACAAGAACGUGUUUAUUAUUCGUAUGGAAUUAGGAAAGAAAAAUAUCUUAGGAUUCAGGAAUAUCAUUCGAUAAUAUAUAUUCGUCAGGUAGUCGAUGAUUUCUCUAUCGAAAUUAUAUUCAUUAUGAAUGCAAAGAUUGAGAGAAGCAAGAGAACUAUUCUAGAGAUCAUCGGAAUCAUCUUAAGGGACAUAGCUGCAUUAAAUAUGUAGAGAUGAAAAGAGAGUAAAUUUAUCCUAUCGAAUCUGCUAGUCUAAUAACAAUCCUAAAGGAGAAGAAAAGCAGUUUAUUACAAAUGAUGCUUAGAGAGAAUUGUCACUGAAGAUUGUGUGGAAGCCAAUGUUAAAAAAGCUCAUGUUGGUCAGUUUUGUUUCAUCAACCAUACGGAACAUAUUUUCUGCUAAUUUAAUGUGGAGAUAGGUUUGUUUCAUGGUAGUAGAACGAUCGUUGAUGAGAGAAGAAUAAGAUUUGGACCAUGUUCUUGUAUCAAUCUUGCUGUGGCAAUCUAUUCUCACACGUACGUUUAUCUAUUAAAUGGACCAAUUUAGCAGUAGAUGCUUUGUUUCCAAGUUUUUUAUGGAAAAGAAGAAAACAUGCUAAAGCAUCAUCGAAGAUUCGAGAGAUUGAUAUCUAUAAUAACGAUAUUAGGAAGCCUUAACCAAAGCAUUGGCUUAUUUUUUGAGAUUUUUAUUUGACGAUAAAUUGAACGAUUGGAACGAAUAAAUGAUUAUAUUUAUUACAAUACUAGUAUCAGGUUUUUCAUUAACUAAUUAUUUAUCAUAUUAUGAACAAAAGCUCGAUCACUGAAUACAUGACAAGCCAUCGUUUUAAUAUCUAUAGCAUUAAACGCCGAGAAAAUUUUCAUCAGCGAAUUCGACAAUUAUAUUUUUUGUUUUCUUUUUCUUUUUUUAAAGAGAUUGGUAUGUAAAUAA